rnacentral:rRNA from 1 species
UACUUUGCAAAGUGGGGACAAGAUGGCAUAGUUGACCUUAAACAUGAACUCGAGCAGGUGCUCAUGUUUAUCUCAAGUCGGUGCCUACUUGGAUAUGAGGUUCGAGACAUGAUGCUGGAAGAAGUAUACUCAUUAUUCCAUGACUUUGCAAACGGAUUGAACUUUCUCAGUUUCUUGUUCCCAUAUACUCCAACCCCGAGAAACCGCCGACGAGACAAGGCACACAUCAGGCUGAAAGAAAGAUUCACUGCAACCAUCAGGUCACGUAGAAGCUCCGGCCGAGUCGAGGAGGAUACACUGCAGAGGUUGAUGAAUUCCAAGUAUAAAGACGGUCGCUUUACAACCGAAGCAGAAAUUUCUGGCAUGAUCAUGGGCCUUGUCGUUGCCGGACACAUCUCAAGCACUAGCACUAGUACAUGGACCGGAGCUUGCAUGUUGAGCAACACCAGGUUCUUAAUAGCUCUAGAGGAGCAAAAACAUAUCAUUAGCAUGUACAAGAACCAAAUAGGCUACGAAGCCUUGUCGGAGAUGGAUACCCUGCAUAGAUGCAUCAAGGAGGCAAUUAGAAUGCACACAUCAGCACCAGUUUUAGUUCGCAAGGCACAUACGAAAUUCAGGGUGCAUACCAAGGAAGGCGAGGAAUAUGACAUACCUAGGGGGCAUAACAUUCUAGUCCCUACUGCACUCAACAAUAAGCUAACACACAUUUACAGUGACCCUCAUUUGUAUGACCCGGAUUGGUUUGGCCCUGGAAGAGAGGAGGACAAAGUUGGUGGCAAGUACUCUUUCACAACAUUUGGUGGUGGAAGGCAUGUUUGCCCUGGCAUGGCCUUGGCAUACCUACAAAUUAAGGUGAUAUGGAGCCAUUUGUUAAGAAAUUUUGAGCUCAAGCUAAUAUCUUCAUUCCCUAAGGCUGAUGGGAGCAAGAUGAACCAAGAGCCUAAAGGAAAAGUAAUGAUAAGUUAUGAGCGACAUCAGCUUAUGUGA